UCUGCUGGCAUUCCUUCCGAAACUCCCACUUCCAUUCCCGUGCCAAAGGUGAUAAUAGGGCUGAUGGGGAUGGGGAUGGGAAGCUGGGAGAUGUCUAAAUUGCUACAAUUACGUUUAAAAUGUGUGCCGAUGAUGAUAAUGACGAUGAUGAAGGAGAUGCUGCAGCGGAAAAGACCUGGCAGUGGAGGCAAUAGCAUAAGUUGGGCCUCUAUCUGCAAAGAUAUUUCCACCACCUGAAGGCGUCAACCUCUGUAAUGGAUAUUGAUAAAUAGAAAAUGGUAAAAUGGGCAACUAAAAAUAUGAAUUAUGCUUUACAAUGCGACACGCCCACACGUCGAAAUUCCUGCUAAAAAAAACUGCAAAAUAUGACGGAAAAUUUUGAUGAACGAAUUUUUAAAUAUCGCGACGUGGAAAAAUGUUUCUCGAGAAAUAGCCAAAUGAUUUUGGUUUUCUCCUGCCUGUUUGGCUGCAUUCAAGGCGUCGACGGUUGCGCUUUAAUUGCCAAAUGGUUCAAGGCCAUUUGAUGUCUUUUGCAAAGUGGAUUUUGCUGUAGACGCCAAAACAAAAGUAUGGCAGUCGGAGGGGUUGGGCGGUUAGAGGGAACUUGAUGACAGACCAAGGAGGCCUGUAAGUUGUCGACUGUCUGGUCACCUUAUUGGACAACUCAGGCAUAAAGUGGGUCAACCGUUGGCCCGUAGGCCUCUUUCUGUUGGA